AUGGGACAAGAACGCAAACAAAUCCGACAACUAGGUGAUACAAAAGGGACAACAAAACAUCCGGAUAGACGAUACAAAGAAACAAGGACGGUCAUUCGAAGUUUUCUAUCUUCGUCAAGAACGAAAUUAUCCUCGCAAUUCGGCUGAUUAUAUAUAUAUAUAUGUGUUAAAAAUAGAUAGAUAAAU